UGGGGAAUAUUGGACAAUGGGGGGAACCCUGAUCCAGCCAUGCCGCGUGUGUGAAGAAGGCCUUAUGGUUGUAAAGCACUUUAAGCGAGGAGGAGGGUACUGGUAUUAAUACUACCAGGUACUGGACGUUACUCGCAGAAUAAGCACCGGCUAACUCUGUGCCAGCAGCCGCGGUAAUACAGAGGGUGCGAGCGUUAAUCGGAUUUACUGGGCGUAAAGCGUGCGUAGGCGGCUAAUUGAGUCGGAUGUGAAAUCCCCGAGCUUAACUUGGGAAUUGCAUUCGAUACUGGUUAGCUAGAGUGUGGGAGAGGAUGGUAGAAUUCCAGGUGUAGCGGUGAAAUGCGUAGAGAUCUGGAGGAAUACCGAUGGCGAAGGCAGCCAUCUGGCCUAACACUGACGCUGGGGUACGAAAGCAUGGGGAGCAAACAGG
rnacentral:rRNA from 1 species